rnacentral:rRNA from 1 species
UACGUAGGUGACCAGCGUUGUCCGGAUUUACUGGGCGUAAAGAGCGCGCAGGCGGUCGUUCAAGUCGAGUGUGAAAGCCCCCGGUUCAACUGGGGAGGGUCAUUCGAUACUGAUCGACUUGAAGGCAGGAGAGGGAAGUGGAAUUCCCGGUGUAGUGGUGAAAUACGUAGAUAUCGGGAAGAACACCUGAGGCGAAGGCGGCUAUCUGGCGGUGCACUGACGCUGAGGCGCGAAAGCGUGGGGAGCAAACAGG